AUGACCCUCCCCUAUUUUCCUCCGGUGGUCCAUUUCAUAAAUACCGAACGGUCCCUUAGGUAGAGAAAGUCUUUGUGGCUCCACCCCCUGCAUUUAAAAUCAAGAACUGUCUGUCUAGCUAAAACUCCACACACUAUUGAUUUACAGUUUUAUUUUAUUAUAUUGUAAUCAAACCUUACUUGGUCAUGCUGAGAUUUAGCUGAGCUAAUGCCCUGCUGUUCAAACAUCCAGACUGUUAAAUGUCAUACCACUAAAUGUGUCUGAUGCCUGUUUGCUUUUUGACCACUUUAUAUGCAUGUGUACAUACCCAGUAUUUUAAAGCUUUAACUGUAAAUAUAUACUGUAAAUAUAUAUACAGUAAUACUUUGUGUGUCAUAUUUUGUGAAUGGGUGGUUGAUCAUCAUUCUCCAUUAUUCUACACUACUUAUAUUUAUUCCCAUAAUAUCCAUUUGUAGUUAGGUUCAAGUUCAUACAGUGUACUUACCAAUACCAAUACCAAUAUAGCCCUUCAACAGAACAAAACUUAAAAAAAUAAGUUAAUCUGACUUUCCAUCAAAAUACCAAAUCCCACCCAACCUUAACCUUACUGAUGUGUGGGUAAGUGUUGAGUCCUUGAUGUUCUUACCCUUUGGACAAACCUUUUACCUUUUCAUGAUUAUAUCUGAAAUAGUUACAGUGUAUAUCUGUGCUUUGUGUCUAUCUAACAGUGUCAGUCUCUUACAGAUCGUCAGUAGCCUUCUGCCACAGUGCCGUUCUUCGUAUCCUCCCCACAGCUGAGGGUUUGAGCCUCCUCAGCUCCUUUCACAGCAGCAGUGUGUCAACCCUCUUGGAUCCCUGACCCUCGGGCUGCCCACCGUGAGUGCCUCCUGUCAUGCUUCCUCAGUUGCAUCUGUGUGGAACACAACACCUGACCCCUGUCCUGUGACACUGUUGACCCAGAAGACUUGCCCAACAUUCUGUUCAGGUGGACAUGGUCAAAUGUUCCAUGAUGCCUCUACAGGGAGUGGCUGGCUCACACACAUUUACAUUGCUUUGGAGAAGCAGGAAUGAUGCUAUGACACUUGCUACCGCCGGUAGAGCCCCAUGAGCCUACUGACACAGCCAUUGCCAGAACUGCAUUACCUGUCUAUCCACAUAUUGACCUAUUCAGUUUGGGUGUUUGGAAUAUUAAAAAUCUAAUUAAUCAAAUCAUUUUCAGUAUGACCCACAGUCAUCACACACUUUACUGUGUGUCAGUGUAAACAUUUGUGUGUACCACAAACAGUAUGGCACCAUACAAGUAUGUUAACCAUUUUUGUGCAUUUCAUAAAGCAUGUGCAACUGUAGAGGUUUUAGCUUUCAAUGCUUCAGAAAUUGUUUCUUUUGAACCCAUAUGUAAAGCACUACCUGGCAUUUUCCAUGUUUUUCCUUUUCCAUGUAUUAUUUCUACCCAUACUGUAAGGCUGCUUCGACAUUAAAAAAUAAGGCAAAAACCUGUAGGAUAAGCACAAACUGAAGCAAUGCAUUCCAAAAAUGUGUGUGUGACUGUUAGCAUCAUAUCAAAAGCUGCAAAAAGCUGACAGUACAUCAGUAUUCAACAUCCCCUCUUUGUGAAGUUGACAGUGCAUGGAUGUAACUUCAGAGUGAUAACAGUCAAGCUCCUCUGUGCUCUUUCAAAGUGAAAAGGGACUCUGUUAUCAAUCUACACAUGCUGAUUCACUUGCAGCACUUACUCAACUGCCAGAAGCUGAAGCCAAAAGGGAUGUAACUGGAUGAGCUGGAGUCUGGGGAGAAAAAGAAAUGUAUAUCAUUUGUGAUUGCAUCAUAGAACUUUUCUUGACUCCAGGCUCUUAGAAAUCUAACCCGAUAGGCUUGUUUUGCAAGGUAGAGGUUUUAGGUUCUGAUUAGACUCUGGCAUAAAGUUGAUGAUGAGUGGACAUAAUAAGAGGGUUUAUUCACUUACACAGAGGGUACAGAUAGAAGCUUUUACAGCCUGAAUUCUGCAAUACUUAAGUCACAAAGAAGAGUAACAUUUGAUUGGCAGGAUGUUAUUUACUUGAAACAAAAUGGACCUGUGAAUAAGAGAUUAAUCAGCAUUACAAAGCAAUAUUGUUGUAAUAUGUUUGUUUCAGAUAUUGCCCACUACAGUAAAAGCCUUCUUUUUCAAAUCUGAAAUAAACUACUCGUACUCGCAUUUGCUCUCUCUUUUCUACCUGUUCUGUAUCCAAAGACUGUAGGAAAAUAUGGGUGUUAGUGAUAUCAUCCAUAUGUUUUUGAAUAAAUAUUAAAAGUCUG